AUACUUACCUGGCAGGGGAGAUACCAUGAUCACGAAAGUGGUUUUCCCAGGGCGAGGCUCAUCCAUUGCACUCCGGGUGUGUUGACCCCUGCAAUUUCCUCAAAUGUAGGAAACUCAACUGAGUAAUUUGUGGUUGUGGGGGACUAUGUUCACGCUCUCCCCUG